UACGGAGGGGACUAGCGUUGUUCGGAAUUACUGGGCGUAAAGCGCACGUAGGCGGCUUUGUAAGUCAGGGGUGAAAUCCCGGGGCUCAACCUCGGAACUGCCUUUGAUACUGCAAGUCUCGAGUCCGAUAGAGGUGAGUGGAAUUCCUAGUGUAGAGGUGAAAUUCGUAGAUAUUAGGAAGAACACCAGUGGCGAAGGCGGCUCACUGGAUCGGUACUGACGCUGAGGUGCGAAAGCGUGGGGAGCAAACAGG
rnacentral:rRNA from 1 species